UUCACUUACAGGACGGACACAAACGCAAUCGGUUUUCUCAAUUAAAUGUGGCGGCUCACAAGAAAGCUAGAAAAUGUAUUUUUGUAGACACUUUACUCAGCUCUUUUCACCUGGUCUCCUGGGCUUUUGUCUUCAUGCCUACAUCUUCACGGUGACAUCUCCCGGUGGUCACACGGUGUCCCUGAACUGCUCGUACCCUACUGGCUCAUCGAUGCUCUGGUACAGACAACUCUCUGACCAGCCUCCUCAACCUCUGCUGCAGACGUUCAGCCCUAAAUCUUCAAGUUGCACUUUCUACAUUGAGUCGGGAGGACACUUCACUGUGAAGGAAAAUCACACUUUGGUCAUCCAUAAUGUAUCAAGUAACGACACGGCAACUUAUUACUGUGCAAGGCUGGAAACAGACGUGUGUCACUUCGCUGAAGGGAUCGACCUCAGAGUGGACGGUGAGAGCGAAACGAGCGGCCAUUGAUUCAUAUCUGUAAUUUACUGAGUAGGUCUUUGAAUUUUUUU